CUACGGGGUGCUGCAGUUAGGAAUAUUCUUCAAUGCACGAAAGUGUGAAAGAUUGAGCCAGAGUGUUUUUCAAUUGAAAAACUUUUGUCGAAUGUAAAAAGUUCGACGAAUAAGGACUGGGUAAGACGAGUGCCAGCCGCCGCGGUAAUACUCGCGGUCCAAGUCGCAGCCAUUUUUAUUGGGUCUAAAACAUCCGUAGCUUGCUUGGUAAGUUUCCUGUGAAAUCUGAUAUCUCAAGUAUUGGGCGUGCAGGAAGUACUGUCAAGCUAGAGACUGGAAGACGUAAUGAGUACGGCCAAAGUAGCGGUUGAAUGUGUUAAUCUUGGUCGGACUAACAACAGCGAAGGCACAUUACGAGGACAGUUCUGACAGUAAGGGAUGAAAGCUAAGGGCGCAAAUCGGAUUAGAUACCCGAGUAGUC
rnacentral:rRNA from 1 species